rnacentral:rRNA from 1 species
UGGGGAAUAUUGGACAAUGGGCGAACGCCUGAUCCAGCCAUGCCGCGUGAGUGAAGAAGGCCUUAGGGUUGUAAAGCUCUUUUGGCGGGGACGAUAAUGACGGUACCCGCAGAAUAAGCUCCGGCUAACUUCGUGCCAGCAGCCGCGGUAAUACGAAGGGAGCUAGCGUUGUUCGGAAUCACUGGGCGUAAAGCGCACGUAGGCGGACUGCUAAGUCAGGGGUGAAAUCCCGGGGCUCAACCUCGGAACUGCCUUUGAUACUGACCAUCGAGAUUCCGAUAGAGGUUGGUGGACUUCCCAGUGUAGAUGUGAAAUUCUUCGAUAUUAGGAAGAACCCCGGUGGCGAAGGCGGCCCACUGGAUCGGUACUGACGCUGAGGUGCGAAAGCGUGG